ACGCUCGACACCUACGGGAGGCAGCAGUGAGGAAUAUUGGUCAAUGGGCGGCUAGCCUCGAACCACGCCAAGUAGGCGUGAAGGAUGAAGGCUCUAUGGGUCGUAACUUCUUUAUAUAAGAAAUAAAGUGCAGUAUGUAUACUUGUUUUGUAUGUAUUAUAUGAAUAAGGAGUCGGCUAACUCCGUCGCCCGCAGCCGGCGGUAAUCUGGAGGCGGGCGUGGCGAAGGC
rnacentral:rRNA from 1 species